rnacentral:tRNA from 1 species
GCGGUGGUAGUACAGUGGUCAGUAUGCGGCCUUGCCAAGGCUGUGACCCGGGUUCAAAUCCCGGCCACCGCA